rnacentral:rRNA from 1 species
UCCUGGGUGACGAGCGGCGGACGGGUGAGUAAUGUCUGGGAAACUGCCUGAUGGAGGGGGAUAACUACUGGAAACGGUAGCUAAUACCGCAUAAYGUCUACGGACCAAAGUGGGGGACCUUCGGGCCUCAUGCCAUCAGAUGUGCCCAGAUGGGAUUAGCUAGUAGGUGGGGUAAUGGCUCACCUAGGCGACGAUCCCUAGCUGGUCUGAGAGGAUGACCAGCCACACUGGAACUGAGACACGGUCCAGACUCCUACGGGAGGCAGCAGUGGGGAAUAUUGCACAAUGGGCGCAAGCCUGAUGCAGCCAUGCCGCGUGUGUGAAGAAGGCCUUCGGGUUGUAAAGCACUUUCAGCGAGGAGGAAGGG